rnacentral:rRNA from 1 species
UAGGGAAUCUUCCGCAAUGGGCGAAAGCUUGACGGAGCAACGCCGCGUGGGGGAUGACGGCCUUCGGGUUGUAAACUCCUUUCGCUAGGGACGAAGCUUUUUGUGACGGUACCUAGAUAAGAAGCACCGGCUAACUACGUGCCAGCAGCCGCGGUAAUACGUAGGGUGCGAGCGUUGUCCGGAAUUACUGGGCGUAAAGGGCUCGUAGGUGGUUUGUCGCGUCGUCUGUGAAAUUCCGGGGCUUAACUCCGGGCGUGCAGGCGAUACGGGCAUAACUUGAGUACUGUAGGGGGAAGUGGGAUUCCUGGUGUAGCGGUGAAAUGCGCAGAUAUCAGGAGGAAAACCGAUGGCGAAGGCAGGUUAAUGGGCAGUUACUGACGCUGAGGAGCGAAAGCAUGGGUAGCGAACAGG